GAUGAACGCUGGCGGCGUGCCUAAUACAUGCAAGUCGAGCGAACAGACGAGGAGCUUGCUCCUCUGACGUUAGCGGCGGACGGGUGAGUAACACGUGGAUAACCUACCUAUAAGACUGGGAUAACUUCGGGAAACCGGAGCUAAUACCGGAUAACAUGUUGAACCGCAUGGUUCAACAGUGAAAGACGGUCUUGCUGUCACUUAUAGAUGGAUCCGCGCCGCAUUAGCUAGUUGGUAAGGUAACGGCUUACCAAGGCAACGAUGCGUAGCCGACCUGAGAGGGUGAUCGGCCACACUGGAACUGAGACACGGUCCAGACUCCUACGGGAGGCAGCAGUAGGAAAUCUUCCGCAAUGGGCGAAAGCCUGACGGAGCAACGCCGCGUGAGUGAUGAAGGUCUUCGGAUCGUAAAACUCUGUUAUUAGGGAAGAACAAAUGUGUAAGUAACUAUGCACGUCUUGACGGUACCUAAUCAGAAAGCCACGGCUAACUACGUG
rnacentral:rRNA from 1 species